UCCACCCAACCACGCGUCUUGCUCCUCCUGUGCACCCCGCCUUCGCCUGCCGUGCCUCGUCGGAUCGGCCUCGCCGGAGACCAGCGCCGCUCCACCCCGUCUCCAACUCCGGAAACCAGCAGGAGCAUCGUCCUCUCGUCGCCGCUGCCUUCCCCUCGUCUCCCCGUGCUCCUCCACCUCGCCUCGUCGUCCGGCAACCGGCGCUGCCGCCGGCGACCACGAGAUAAGCACCACUGCCCUUCUCCUCCUCCUGUUGUUCCUCUGCUUUCCUCGUCUCACCUUCCUGUCUCUCUUUCUCUGCUCAAACAGGAGCGCCAUGGCUCUCGGUCCCCAUCAAGCUCCGCGCCCGGACCUCCUCGUCGAACCUCACCGGAGUUCCUCCAUGACGCCAGCAACAGCAGCAGCCGCUGCACCCUCUCGCCGGCGAACCCAGUAGAUGAGCCGCCGCCUUCCUCACGCCUCCCCACCGCGCCAGCAGCUCCAGCCGCUCAAGUCCCAACUUCGAGUUGCGCCCCUGCCUCGCCAUGACCACCGGCCUCGUUGUUUCCUCGCUGUGAGCAACU